rnacentral:tRNA from 1 species
UCCUUUGUGGCUCAGAUGGUAAAGAACCUGCCUGCAAUGUGGGAGACCUGGGUUUGAUCCCUAGCUUAGGAA